rnacentral:rRNA from 1 species
GGGUCAGGAGGUUGGUCGUGCCACCGGUACGUACUGGUCUCACUGAUUCCUCCUUCCUGAAGAACCGUAAUGCCAUUAAUUUGGUGUUGCGGGGAAACAGGACUGUUACUUUGAAAAAAUUAGAGUGUUUAAAGCAAGCUAACGCUUGAAUACAUUAGCAUGGAAUAAUGAAAUAGGACGAUCGAUCCUAUUUUGUUGGUUUCUAGGAUUGACGCA